GACGAACGCUGGCGGCGUGCUUAACACAUGCAAGUCGAACGAAGAGCGAUGGAAGCUUGCUUCUAUCAAUCUUAGUGGCGAACGGGUGAGUAACGCGUAAUCAACCUGCCCUUCAGAGGGGGACAACAGUUGGAAACGACUGCUAAUACCGCAUACGAUCUAACCUCGGCAUCGAGGAAAGAUGAAAGGUGGCCUCUAUUUAUAAGCUAUCACUGAAGGAGGGGAUUGCGUCUGAUUAGCUAGUUGGAGGGGUAACGGCCCACCAAGGCGAUGAUCAGUAGCCGGUCUGAGAGGAUGAACGGCCACAUUGGGACUGAGACACGGCCCAGACUCCUACGGGAGGCAGCAGUGGGGAAUCUUCCGCAAUGGACGAAAGUCUGACGGAGCAACGCCGCGUGAGUGAUGACGGCCUUCGGGUUGUAAAGCUCUGUUAAUCGGGACGAAAGGCCUUCUUGCGAACAGUUAGAAGGAUUGACG
rnacentral:rRNA from 1 species